UGCCGCCCGCCGCUGCCGCCCAGAGAGGCUCAAACCGCAAGGAAGGCACAAGGGCUCACGAGGCGGGGGCCUCGGCCUGCGUGGGUUUGGGUCCGGGCGGGCUGCCUGGAGGAAGGCGCUCUGGAGCAGUCCAGAGCAUUGCCGGAGGCAGCACAUGGGAGUCCGGGGUCUGCCCUGCCGUCUGUGAGGCCUGUCUCUGGCCGUCCCCCCCACAACCCCUGACGCCGGAAUCCCGACCAGUGGGCGGGCCGCAGCCUGGAACCCGCUGCCCAGAGUAACCAGGCAAACAGAACUCUGUAGGACUCUGAACCUGUUCUCCGGGUGGGCCGCCAGUGCUCCCACCUGCUGCCCUCCUGGCCUGCCCGGGCCAGGACCCCUGCCUCCCCAUGCAGCACCCCAAACCCUUCUAUGCGCCCACAGCUCCCCAAGAAGGCUUCAGCCCCCAGGGCCCAGAUGGCACUGAGGGGCCAGGCAGUCAGCCUCUCCCCACCUGCACGGAGCCUCUUCCUACUGUGGGUUCCUCCAACCUGUAUCAGCCCCUAAACCCGGAGAAAGAGGUGUUUCCAGCCCCUCCGGCAGGUUUCCAGAUGGCACCCUGCGGGUGCUUCUUUGACCCCCGCAUCUACCGAAUCGAGUGGGCCACCACUGACUUCGGCCAGUCGUCCCUGUACAGGCUGACGGCAGUGGGCGGUCGGGGGCCCCCCGGGGGUCCGGCGGGGGGCCCCGCCUCGCCAGGCACCUACCUCCUAGAGCCCCAGCACUACCUCAAAGCCCCAGUGCCGGCCCCACCACCCCCGCCCUACCCGCAUUACCUGCCCGUUCCCGGGGGCCCCCAGUACCUCGUGCCCUACUUCCCCCCCGAGGGGCCGGGGCCGGAGGCUCUGGGCUUUGUGGGGGAAGGGGGGCCCCCCGCCUUCAUGGAGCUGCCCCCACCCCUGCUCAAGGCCGGCCCAGGGCCGCCCCCACCUGCCCCCAAGGAGAACAAGCUGCCUCCCUUGCUCAUCACGCUCCCCGCCGAGGCCGCGCUGCCCCCCGGCGCCUAUGGCCACCUCAAGGGCAGCCUCAGUCAGCUCCAUGGGCCCGCGUGCCCGAGAUCCUGGACGCCGUGUCCAACGUGGGCUGCCUUUUCAGCUUCAAGGCGCUUGAUGAGGAGCCGGCGCCCCGCCCAGGGCCCCCCGCCGCCAGCACCGUGGCCCCUGCCUUGCGACCUGAGCUGCCCGGCAGGAGGAAGGCCGGCACCUCGUCCGCCAAGAAGGGGAGGCAGGGAGGCAAGGGCAAGCAGCCUGCGGGCCCGGCCAGCGCCGCCCCCUCGGGGCCCAGGCAGCACCUGGGAGCCGGCCCCCAUUAAAAUGGAUUUGACCCCUCGGCUCACUGUCGGCUCGGUCGCAUCAGGGCCCGGGGCCGGUGGGCUGAGGCUGGCUGUGGGGGGCUGUCCCCUCCUCCGUCCUGUCGCGGGGGCGCUGGUUCGCACGCGAAGGCCCAGCAGCCCCUCGGCGCCUCCUGGGUGCUGGGCUUCCAGAGCUGAGCUGCGGAGGCUUAGAGUCCCGGGGAAUCCUAAACCCCCCCUCUCCGAGCCCCGGAAAAUUGGGAGUCAGCCUGCAGGGAUGGGCGCUUCUGGAAGGUGGGGAGAUGCCGUCCGUUUCUGUAAGGAUCUGUUGCCCGAGUGGUGAACGGGUUGCCCAGAGAGGGGUGGGAGAUGAGGCCUCCCCCCACCCCCCGCGUUCUCCCCCUGCAGAGGAGGAAGGGAACCUCCUGCCCCAGGGCCUGGGCUGGGUCCCUGGGACCUUCGUUGUUGGGCUCUGCCGGGGUAGCCCUGGGGGUGGCUGGCGUGGGCCCCCCUUCCCUGAACCCUCAUUCCCAAGCUCGGGGGAGAGACAGCUGCUGGGACCGUGCUGCGGGCUGUGUGGCCGCGUCUGCGCUUAACCCGCCCGGCCCUGUUCUGGGCCUGGACAGAGAGGCCGGGAGCUCACUUCGCCCAGCUUCCUUCUGAGGUCCCCUCUCCCCGCAGCCCCAUCUGGGGUAUCUUUGAGACGAAACUCCAGGGCAUUCGGUGAAGGGAAGGCCCUGGCACAUGACGUAAGAGGAGGGGUUCGGUUUCCUUGGAGAAAUGUCCGCUGCCAAGAGACGCCCACCCAGGGAGGGCGGGGUAGGUGUGCGCGUGGAGGUUCCCCACCACUGUAUCGCGACUGUUUGGGACAACUGAGGACGCCCACAAUAUACACCUAAGAAUAAUCGGGAAAGUCAUGGGACUUAGGACGGGAUGGCUGUCCCAGGCCGCCUGGGGUUCAGAAUGAGGCGGUGGGUGGGGAGGGAAACCCCGGUGAACGGGUAGGUAGACUACACGUACCCGUGUACAUUGUAUAUACGCGUGUGCACACGUCUGUGCACACGUGUACGUGCUACCUACAUGCCUGUGUAGAACAGGCAUGCAUGUCUAUACACGUGUAUAGGUCUGUGCCCGUGUGUGUGUAACCUGGGUGAAUACACGCUAUGGGUGUAUACGUGCAUUGCACGCACAUGCGUGGACACGUGCAUACGUACGCACACGAGUCCCAGGUAUACACGUACACAUGCGAAAUCUGCCCGACAUGUUCGUGCACAUAGCAAAACACACGUGUACGUGUUUGUAUACACGUUAGGGUUUGUACCCAGGAAAUGCAAUCCCGCAGGUCGCGGUCUCCUACAGACAUCCCCCCACUUGUACUUGGGCCUUGUCCUCUACAGGACACGUUGCCGCGUCUCCUGCUUUUCGGAGACUUGCCUCUUGUCCCCCCGAUGCCUGUGCUGGUUUAUGUCACCGGCCUGCCCACCUCUUGUCCCAGCCCAUGUAGGUGCCACGUGCAGAGGAACUCUGACGUGAGGACGUGGAGAGAGACGGUGACGGUGGGUGUCGGGAAAACAAACCACACCUGAUACGCGCUGCCGCUGGCUUUUUUCCAGAAUGCUUUGUUUUAAGACAACUCUGGGCUCCUCCGCUGUGCGCUCAGCGCCUGCCUUGGAAACACGGGCAAAGAUUUCUGAGUCUCCUGCACAGAUUCAUCCAGAACUCCUUGAGCCUGAGGCCCUUCUCGGUGUGCAGCAGUUUGGGGAUCAUGUAGGCCGACCACACGGACAGCAGCAUGGCCAUUAUGAGCGGGAUGAUGGUGACCGUCGUCGGGAUGAUGGACGGGGGCAAGGCCCCGUAGACGUAGACGCUGAAGGUGGUCUCCAGGGGACGUCUGGACACAGGCAUGCACAGGGAGAACAUCAGUGUGAAGACAGAGGCAGAAACUGCGGUGUGUGUCUACAGGCCAAGGAACGCCAAAGGGGGCCAGCAAACCACGAGCGGCCAAGCCUGGCACAGAGUCUCGCUCUCAGAAGGAAACAGCCUUGCCAGCACGUUGGUCCCAGACGCCUGGGAAAGUUCCUCCAGAGCUGGGGAAGCAUAAAUCUCCGGUUCGUGGUGUUUUUGCUACAGCAGCCCCGGCCAGCUAAGACACCUGGGAAAACUGAAGAUACAGAGGAGACCCAGCCACCUUCCUGGGGCUUCUUGUUGGCAUGGCCACCGAGCGUGGUCGUGGCACCAAGAUGUGGUUGGGUGGGGGCAGGAGCUUUUCUGCCCCGUCUUCAGAUCCCAGGAUUUCAUAUAAAGGGGGAACCUCCCUGAAAACUCAACAGGUGCAUCAGGCUGCCUGCCCGAGCUGAAGACCCCUCUCUUCUGCACUAUUUGCUGGUGGACCCAGAAGGGAGGGAGCUGGGCUUGUAGACAAAAGAAGAGCAAGAAAAUUUUAAAGCAAGAGAGUCAAAGUAAUAGCCCAGCAAUAUGAAAAAUAAAGGACUGGGGCGCCUGGGGGGCUCA